AACGCGAAGAACCUUACCAGGUCUUGACAUCCCUCUGAAUAGUUUAGAGAUAAGCUAGGCCUUCGGGACAGAGGAGACAGGUGGUGCAUGGUUGUCGUCAGCUCGUGUCGUGAGAUGUUGGGUUAAGUCCCGCAACGAGCGCAACCCUUGAAUUCAGUUGCCAGCAGGUUAAGCUGGGCACUCUGAAUUGACUGCCGGUGACAAACCGGAGGAAGGUGGGGAUGACGUCAAAUCAUCAUGCCCCUUAUGACCUGGGCUACACACGUACUACAAUGGUCGGUACAACGGGAAGCGAAGCCGCGAGGCGGAGCCAAUCCUAGAAAAGCCGAUCUCAGUUCGGAUUGCAGGCUGCAACUCGCCUGCAUGAAGUCGGAAUUGCUAGUAAUCGCGGAUCAGCAUGCCGCGGUGAAUACGUUCCCGGGCCUUGUACACACCGAUAGC
rnacentral:rRNA from 1 species